rnacentral:misc_RNA from 1 species
UCUCCGUAGGUGAACCUGCGGAGGGAUCAUUACUGAGUGAGGGCUUCGGUCCGACCUCCAACCCUUUGUGAACCAAACUUGUUGCUUCGGGGGCGACCCUGCCGUCCGCGGCUGAGCGCCCCCGGGGUCAAUCAAACACUGCAUUCUCUGCGUCGGAGUUUAACACAAAUGAAACAAAACUUUCAACAACGGAUCUCUUGGUUCUGGCAUCGAUGAAGAACGCAGC